GGACUACAGGGGUAUCUAAUCCCGUUCGCUCCCCUGGCUUUCGCACCUGAGCGUCAGGAACUUGCCAGGACACUGCCUUCGCCUUUGGUGUUCCUCCGGAUAUCUACGCAUUUCACCACUACACCCGGAAUUCCGUGUCCCUCUCAAGUCCUCAAGCCCACCAGUCUUCAAGGUCCUUCUCCAGUUAAGCCGGAGACUGUCACCUCAAACUUGGCAGGCCGCCUGCGUGCGCUUUACGCCCAGUAACUCCGGACAACGCUCGCCCCCUACGUAUUACCGCGGCUGCUGGCAC
rnacentral:rRNA from 1 species